GACGAACGCUGGCGGCGUGCUUAACACAUGCAAGUCGAACGGAAAGGCCCUGCUUUUGUGGGGUGCUCGAGUGGCGAACGGGUGUGUAACACGUGAGUACCCUGCCCCUGACUUUGGGAUAACUUCAGGAAACUGGGGCUAAUACCGGAUAGGCGCUCCUGCUGCAUGGUGGGGGUUGGAAAGUUUCGGCGGGUGGGGAUGGACUCGCGGCUUGUUAGCUGGUUGGUGGGGUAGUGGCUUACCAAGGCUUUGACGGGUGGCCGGCCUGGGGGGGGGACCGGCCACAUUGGGACUGGGAUACGGCCAGGACUCCUACGGGAGGCAGCGGGGGGGAAUAUGGCACAAUGGGCGGAGGCCGGAGGAAGCAACGCCGCGGGCGGGAUGACGGCCUUCGGGUGGAAAACCGCUUUCGCCGGUGAGGAAGCGUGAGUGACGGUAAUGGGUAAAGAAGCACCGGCUAACUACGUG
rnacentral:rRNA from 1 species